rfam:Enterobius vermicularis genome assembly, scaffold: EVEC_scaffold0000108
AUCUCUUGUUCUUCUGCAUUUAGCCGAGAAAAUCUUUCGCCUUUUACUAAAGAUUUCCGUGCAGAAGGACAAUUCAUGAGUUUACGUUAAUUUUUGGAACCUCGUCUUCGGACGGGGA